rnacentral:tRNA from 1 species
GGUGGCUCAGUGGUAGAGUGCUUGCCUUGCAUGCACGAGUCUCUGGGUUCAAUUCCUCAGCACCA